UUUGUGUCUAGCUCACGGAUUGUAAAGCACCAAUCAGCACCCUGUUAAAACAGACCAAUCAGCUCUCUGUAAAAUGGACCAAUCAGCAGGAUGUGGGUGGGACCAGAUAAGAGAAUAAAAGCAGGCUGCCUGAGCUCGCAGUGGUAAUGCGUCUCUGUCUCUUUCCGUGCUGUAGAGGCUUUGAUCUUUUACUGUGCAAUAAAUCUUGCUGCUGCUAACAGUUUGGGUCCACACUGCGUCUAUAAGCUGUAACACUCACCGUGAAGGUCUACAGCUUCAUUCCUGAAGCCAGUGAGACCACGAACCCAGCAGGAGGAACGAACAACUCCAGACGCGCGGCCUUAAGAGCUGUAACACUCACCGCGAAGGUCUGCAACUUCACUCCUGAGCCAGCGAGACCACGACCCCACUAGAAGGAAGAAACUCCGAACACAUCCGAACCUCGGAAGGAAGAAACUCCGAACACAUCCAAACAACAGAAGGAACAAACUCCGGACACGCCGCCUUUAAGAACUGUAACACUCACCACCAGGGUUCGCGGCUUCAUUCUUGAAGUCAGUGAGACCAAGAAGCCACCAAUUCCGGACACAAUAUGAAGGGGGAAUCUGGAAUAUUUCAAGAUAAGGUCCAAUUCUUCCAUUGUCUCGUAAUCCAAUGCAGAGAUGUGAAAUGUAAGAUCAUCUGAAGGAGAGCUUUGGUUCAAGUCAAAUGCAUGCCUCAACCUAGCAGAGCCAAAGAGAUACUUGUAUGAUGACAUGACUUUUGCCUUCUGCCAUGAUUGUGAGACCUCCCCAGCCACAUGAAACUCAUCAUAUCGGAUUUGAGAAAACUCACGAAGACCAAAAGAACCUCCAACAAUCAGCAACUAAAACAAAGAAAGGAAACAUUUAAGCAAAACAGAAGACCAGAAUUCAAAUUCAGCCUAUCUAUAGAUUGCUUUUCUAAACAACAAUAGAGGCACAUUAUACAAAAAUUCUAUAGAUUAUUUUUCCUGGUGAGUCACCAUUCAUCUUUUAGAGUAAAUGCAGUAUAUACUGGCUAGGAAAUCAUUAUAGCACAUCAUUACCAAAUACCAAAAUCGUCACCCUAUACCUGUAUUUGACCUUAUGAUUUAAAUGACAUCAUAACAAGCAUUAUAUUAUUUGACUCUUACAAUAGACCUAUUUUUGUUUUUUGCUAAGAAAAAAACAAAAACAAAAACAAAUUCAACAAAUGAGGAAAUAAAAGCACAGCCAACUAAAUGACUUGUCCAUUGUUAACUUAAAUUUUUCCCAGGGAUGUCUCUGUAAUUCCAUUGUUAUGCGAUCUUCCUUAGUAAGUAAUGAAAUUGAAACCUGAUCAACUGAUCAGACCAUGUCCAAAUAAGGCAGAUGCCUAGCUAUAACCAACCAAGCUAUUUCUGUACUUCACUUUCCUGUUUUGUCUAUACUCAUUGCCCAUAUUGCAGAAUGGAGCUCUCUCAACUUCUGGUUCUGAGUGCUGCCUGAUUCAUGAAUUUUCUUUGUUCAAAUAAACUCUAUAACAUUA